rnacentral:rRNA from 1 species
GACAGAGGGUGCGAACGUUGUUCGGAAUUACUGGGCGUAAAGCGUGCGCAGGCGGUUUUGCAAGCCGGAUGUGAAAUCCCCGGGCUCAACCUGGGAAUGGCAUUCGGGACUGCAAGGCUGGAGUGCGGCAGAGGAGACUGGAAUUCCUGGUGUAGCAGUGAAAUGCGUAGAUAUCAGGAGGAAUACCGAUGGCGAAGGCAGGUCUCUGGGCUGACACUGACGCUCAUGCACGAAAGCGUGGGGAGCAAACAGG